GCUUAUUCUCAGGGCGGGGUGCAAGUCCCCACCGGCGGUAAACCACAGAGUAAAUUGGUGAAACACUCUUUCAUCAUCGUGGAAGCCCGCGAGCGCUUGAGUUUCUCUUUAGGGAGAGCUCAAGGUCAGCAGAUCCGGUGUAAUUCCGGGGCCGACGGUUAUAGUCCGGAUGGGAGAGAUUAACG
rfam:Serratia sp. M24T3 contig033, whole genome shotgun sequence.